UACGUAGGGUGCGAGCGUUAAUCGGAAUUACUGGGCGUAAAGCGUGCGCAGGCGGUUUUGUAAGCCAGGUGUGAAAUCCCCGGGCUCAACCUGGGAAUGGCAUUUGGGACUGCAAGGCUGGAGUGCGGCAGAGGAGACUGGAAUUCCUGGUGUAGCAGUGAAAUGCGUAGAUAUCAGGAGGAACACCGAUGGCGAAGGCAGGUCUCUGGCUGGACACUGACGCUCAUGCACGAAAGCGUGGGGAGCAAACAGG
rnacentral:rRNA from 1 species